GAGAUUUUAAUCAAAAAACUUUGACGGUAUUAAUAUUUAUAAAGGAGUUUGUUUUUUAAUAGAUAACCCACAAUUUACCUUACUUAAAUUAUAUUUGUAUAUCACCGUAUAGAUUUUAUUUAAAAUUUCAUAAUGAAUAAUUUCAAAAUAUCAGGUCAUAACGCAGUUUUUUUAAGAUAAAAUGAACUACAGUAAUUUAUUAUAAACAGGAUAUAUAUUCUUUCGAAAUAAAAAUAUGAAGAAGGAUUUAUUAGUAAAUAAAAAAUAAAUUAUUAUAUUGAAAAUUAUUAUUAAUAUGU
rnacentral:rRNA from 1 species